rnacentral:misc_RNA from 1 species
AUUAUUUCAUUCUAUAUGCACCACAGAUCCAUUAUCACUAAAUAUUAGAUACUUAAAACAGUCUAAUAGCUUUAAUUCUUUGUCACCCAUAAAGGAUGCAGUGGUUGCUUCAACCGUAGAACCAAUCUGAACAACAGGUUCUGUUGACCAAAACUACAUUCAACAGGUUCAUCAAUGUUCAAACCAUUUACUAAUAUGACAGAAAUAUGGGUAACCAAGCACUGCAGAUAAAGAGGCAAAUCACUAGCUUGAACUUUGCCAUUAACAUUGUGAUGUUAUUUAUACCCCACAGCACAGAAACAAGAGAGCGCCACGGUCCCAUCACACAACUCAUGGCCAUCAGAAAGGGAUCACUUUUCAUGGCCACGAAACAGUUUUGAACCUGCCAAAUUGACAAGACUCCAACCAUUUUAGAUCGUUUUCUCAAAACAUACAUAAAUUGGGUUCAUUCAAAGUAAUCACAGUUCUCAUCAAAACAGCACAGAAGUUCAUGACCGGUUCUGGGACGGCAUCCUCUCAGACCCAUGUCUCGGUCGGAAGCUGCCAGCUCGGCUACCACUAUCAGAUCCAACACCUGUGUGAUGAAAUGGCCCCCAAAUAGGAUCUCUGUCAACCUGACUCAAGGGGAAGGCGGGCAAGUGUUCUCGUUCCCAAGCGUGAUAUCUGUUUGAUACUGGAUUUUCUGCUUCUUGGAAAUUUCUUCCUGAAGAACUUGAAGGAUAGAAGUAGAAGCCACCAGCCUGAUCAGAUGAUGAGGCAGCCGGCCCCACUUGAGCCAACCCUCUGUGAUUGUUGGAUCGUCGAGUAGCAGACAUAACAGGAGUGCGUACAGCUGGUGAAUUACUUGGUUGCUGAAAAUAGGCUUGAAGAGCUUGAACACGGUCACGAGCCCGAGCUACACUUCCAGGAUAAGGAGGUAUCAUUGGUGAAGCAACUGAACUUCCAGCUCUGGCAGCAGAACCGUGACCAACAAGGAAUGGAGGGACAAAAGAUCCUGGUCUUGGGAUAUCAGCAUUGGUCCUGGCAACUCUCUGAGUAACAGAGGGAACCGAGGACUGAUCAGCAGUACCAACACGACUGCUUGCCAUAGGGAAAGAAGAAUGAUGAUCCCAACUAUGAUAAUGCACAUCCAUUCCUGGGAAAGCAUAAGAAGCAGGUAUCUCGUUGGGAACAGAUGGACUAGUCCAGUGAUUGUUGAAAUUAGGACCAUCAUUGAUACUUCCACUCGAAUUUGAGGAUGAUGGGUGAAUUCCAACAUAGGCAAUAUACGGGCAUGGAUGAGCAGCAGAUGAUACAGCUGUGUGAUCAGCAAAUAUAGCAUGCUGACCAAGAAGAUCAUGAUAUGCACUAGAUGAAAGCUCCCCUUCGUCAAAAGAUGCUGGUAGUCGAGUCAAUCCACUAAACGGACACCAGUGAACUCCAAAUGACAUUUCAGUGUAGCUCAGAUCAUAUAGGUCUUCAUCAUGGGCCCAAUCUUCCAUGUUGAAAUCUGGUAGGGGACGGCAACCACUUGCAUAUAGCCAUUGACCCUUCUCAAUUUUCCGACAGUUGGGACACUGCAUUUGCCCCUUGAUGUUAAAGGCAGAACCAAUGCAAUCAAGAUGA